rnacentral:lncRNA from 1 species
CAGUCACUGGUGCUGCUCCAGAACUUGUACUCCUAAGGCCCUGCACAGGAGGACCCUUGCCUGGCAACCGGGACAAAGAUAAGCCUCUAGCGUCUGGGCCUCAAACCAGCCAGGCUGGGCCCAGGAGGCGGGAGAAAUUACUCUGAGAAUUCAUAAUAAUAAAAGCAGGAAUCGAUAUCAUCAUGGCAGCUAUGUAGACAGUACAAACCUUGCA